GGUCCUGCCUGCCCAGUGACAAUUUUCAACGGCCGCGGUAUUUUGACCGUGCAAAGGUAGCAUAAUCACUUGUCUUCCAAAUAAAGACUAGUAUGAACGGCAAAACGAAGGCCCAACUGUCUCCUUUGUCUACUCAAUGAAAUUGAUCCCACAGUACAAAAGCUGUGAUCAGACAGCAAGACGAGAAGACCCUAUGGAGCUUAAAGCACACUAGAAAGUACAAUGGUAUUUUACAAUCCCCCUCGUACUAAUUCCACACUGUUUUCGGUUGGGGCGACCACGGAGAACACUAACCCUCCGAGAUGAUAUGCCAGGAAAACAAUCCAAAACAUCAGAAAACUGACAUAAUUGACCCAAUAACUUUGACCAACGAACCAAGUUACCCUAGGGAUAACAGCGCAAUCCUCUUCAAGAGCCCAUAUCGACAAGAGGGCUUACGACCUCGAUGUUGGAUCAGGAUAACCUGACAGUGUAACAGCCGUCA
rnacentral:rRNA from 1 species